CGGGGUGUAGUUCAUCGGUAGAACGCUGCGAUGGGGUCGCAGAAGCAGGAGGUUCAAUUCCUCUCACCCCGA
rnacentral:tRNA from 1 species